rnacentral:rRNA from 1 species
GUGUCAGCAGCCGCGGUAAUACGUAGGGGGCUAGCGUUGUCCGGAUUUAUUGGGCGUAAAGAGCGUGUAGGCGGCCGGGUAAGUCCGGUGUGAAAACUCGAGGCUUAACCUCGAGAUGUCAUCGGAAACUAUUCGGCUAGAGUCCGGAAGAGGAGAGUGGAAUUCCUGGUGUAGCGGUGAAAUGCGCAGAUAUCAGGAAGAACACCUAUGGCGAAAGCAGCUCUCUGGGACGGUACUGACGCUGAGACGCGAAAGCGUGGGGAGCGAACAGGAUUAGAAACCCUAGUAGUCC